AGGUGGAAAAGGAUCUUUGCUGUGUAUGAUUAAGCUCAUCUUAUGAUUGGUAUUCUUCGUUCUUUCUGGAGUUGCCGAGUCCAGGACUUACUUUGGUUUGUAUAACUGAUGGAUACUACAGGGCCUGUCUGGACUAGUGAUUGGUGAAUUCUCAUUCUAGAGGCUUGUGGACGAUUAUUGUUGUGGGUCAGGUAGUCGGUUAUAGUCCAAUUGUCCCUAUGUUAUACUUUUGUUAUAUUUGUGUUAUCUUCAUUAUGCUUUUUUCUUUUAAAAUUCAACUUGGCUUAGAUAGUCCACUAAUGUUAUUUGGAUGUAUUUCGAUUGAAUGAUUAAGUGUAGUAUAAGGUGUUAGUCGCACCUCUAUGGUUUUGGGGUGUGACAUAUGCUUACUAGUACUUGUUGAUGUACUGGUGCUACCUGUACUCUUCUUUUUGUUGAGUGUAUCACAUUUUCCAAUGGUUGACACAUAACCUCAGCUCUAGCUAGCAUCCAGACUUGAUUAAGAGGGUGAGCACCAUGUUUGGCCAAACUUCAGAUCUUCUAUGAUGUUAUGUCUUUUGAUUCAGGACUAAGACAAUUUCCUUUUUUAUAUGUUUGGGUAUGUCUAUUUCUUUUAGACUUAAUUGUUCUUUUUUUAUGUUCUUGUAUGGUUACUUUAAGUCUUGGGGAUUAUAAAAAGUAAAGGUUUCCGCACUCUAUUUAUUUUUAUGGAUGAAGACAUUGUUGACUAAGAUGUUAAUUGAUUGAAUCAUUUCCUUUUUAACUAUUUAAAAGGAUAAACUGAUAUUUUGAUGAUAGUGAGAGUAGCACCUAAUUGAGUAAGAAUGAGAGUAGUAUGGUUCUCUUACCAUAGGUUAGAGAAGGUGUCAAUCAUAAUCAAUUAGGUCAUGUCAGAGAUGGUAUCAAAACACUAGGUUCAUUGAUUUUGUCGUACAAGAACAAGUCUAGUAGAGUCCUACAAAAUAGUACAAAGACAUUUAUACUUUUCUUAGGGAGGCUAUAGGACUUUAGGAAUCACCUAUUUUCUUUUCUUCUUUAGUGCUAUAACUUGAUUCCAAUUGGUAUUUGGUGAUCUAUGUUGGUAUCUAAUACUUUCAUUCUUCUUUAUAUAUGGUUAAUACUAGUUUUAAUAGAAAAAAAAUAGUAGCACCUCAGGCGACACCUGCAGCCACUGCUGAGGCAGCAAUCUAGGGUAGGCCUCCAGCUAGAGGCAUAGUAAGAAGAGGAGAACGGUGAGGAACUCUCAUUAGGGGUGAUCAUAGACAAUUAGGGGUGAUCAUAGACAGUUGGGAGAUCAACAAGGAAGUGAUCACCAUCCUCUCCCCUACCACAAGAUUCCCUAUACCACGUUUAGAAUAAGAGGAGGUGGUUAAGGAAGAAAAUAUGAUAGAUUUAGAUAAUAUGGUACCAGUACAGAAUAGUGCAGCUCAGAUGCCUUUGUCUGCAUAGGUGAUUUAACAGGUGUUGGGAUUCUUAGGUAGCUUGCUCAGCACUAGUUACACUUAGUUGUUUUGACCAUCACACCCAUAGCCUUGCAAUAUACCUCUGUUGUAGCACCAAGGAUAGAUGUAGGUUCUAAAACAAGUGCCUAUCCCUAAUAGAUACUUGGAACGAUAAUGAUUGAUGAUAAGCAUAGACUAUUUUACAAGUUCAUGAAGUGAAACCCUUAGUAUUCUAAGGUAUAGAGCUUGAGGAUGUAUUUGAGCUUCUAAUAAAUUUUCAUAAAUAUCUACACAAGAUAGGAAUUUUUGAGUGUUAUGAUUUAGAGUUUAUUUCUUUUCUGCUAUAGAGGUGGAGGUCAUGUGUAGAGUGCAGAGCUACCUUACCUUCACUUACUUGGGCUCAGUUUUAUAAUAUAUUCCUUGAGAAAUAUGUUCCUCACACUUUUUGUUACCAGAAAAAAGAUGAGUUUUUGAGGUUAGACCAAGUUAACAUAUCUGUGGAAGCCUAAGAGGCCAAGUUCAUUCCUUAUCUCAUUAUGCCCUAUAGUUGAUUAUCUCAAAAGAGAAGAAUAUCAGGUAUUUUAUGAAAGGUCUAAACUUAGGGAUUCAGCAGGCUACUUUAUCUACACUAUGUAUGGUAAGUCCUUAAAAGAUGUUGUUGAAUUUGCUAAGAAGUCUAAAGCACUUAAAAAAUAGCACGAGGUAAAAAAAAGAUUAUAAGAAGGCUCGAACCCCGGGCUAAUUUAGUGGUACUUUCUAAAAGGGGUUUGGUUCUCCUAAGUCCUACCAUUCGUCUAUGCCAAUAUCAGUAGGGGGCCAAUUUGGGUCUGUUAUUACGCUUUUUGAGCCGGUAGCUAGACACCUUUUUCUUUUUUUCAUUUCAUAGGCCUAUUUAGGAGCCCAAAAUGCUUGAAUAUAGAGGUAUAGGACAUGUAAAGAGAAAUUUCCCUAAUUUCUUAUUUGCAUGCCAGUUAAUAUUGUAACUAGUUUCUACUACUCUAAUUGAGGUAAGUCAAGGUGGUGGAGAAACUAUAUGGGUUGUCUACAAGGAGCGCAGUAGCCAAGAUAUGAGUUGUAACCAAGACAAUCGAAGAAGAGAACAAGUAGGUAGAAAUGGAGCAUAGGGAAGUAGAGGUGGUAGUCAGGGUGGUAAUAAGGAUGAUCUUUAUAUAGUAGUAGCUCGUCCUAAGGAAAAAGGAUUUGAUACAGUGAUUACAAGUACUAUUCUCGUUUAUGAUCGUAUGGCUUUUGCAUUGUUUGAUCCUGGUUCCACAUUUUCUUAUAUAUAUGUAUACAUUGGUUGGUAUGUCUGUAUGUGUUGAUCAGAUAUAUUGUACAUGUUCUGUGAUGUUCAUAGGGCAUAAGACCCUGGCUGACUUGGUUAAUUUAGACGUGAAGGAGUUUUAUGUUCUCUUGGGGCUAAGUUGGUUGUCCUCGUAUUAUGUCAUUCUUGACUAUUUUGUCAAAACUGUUACUAUAGCAAUGCCCAAAUGAUAAAAGUUAGAAUUGGGGGAGGGGGUACUUUUAGUCCUAUUUCCAUAAGGGUAGAGUUUAAAAUUUGUGACCAGAAACUAUUAAGAGUCGGGGUAGGGAAUUUUUAGCCCAUCUUCGAGAGGAUAAAUCUGCAGCCCCUCCUAUAGUGUCUGUUCCAAUGGUGUGUGAUUUCUUAUAAAUGUUUUUAGAUAAUCUUUUGAGCAUGCCUCUUGAUCGAGAAGUUGACUUUUGUAUAGACUUAAAGCUGGGGACUAGACCUAUUUUUAUUCCUAUAUAUCAUAUGGCACCUACUGUGUUAAGAGAGUUAAAAUCCCAGUUGCAAGAGUUGUUAGAAAAGGGCUUCAUUAGCCCAAGUGCCUCUCCUUGGGUUGUGCUAAUAUUGUUUGUCAAAAAAAAUAUAGUAGUACAAGGAUGUGCAUAGUCUACCGCCAGUUGAAUAAGGUGACCACUUGUAACAAAUAUACCUUGCCCAGAAUAGAUGACUUGUUUGGCCAGUUACAAGGAGUUCUAGUGUUAUCUAAGAUUGAUUUUGCGGUCGGGUUAUCAUCAACUAAAAAUUAGGGAAGAGGACAUACCGAAGACUUCUUUCCAAACUCAUUAUAGGCACUAGGAAUUUUCAGUUAUAUCCUUUGGUUUGACCACUCGAGAUGCUUUCAUGGGUUUGAUGAAUGGAGAGUUUAAAUCCUUUUUGGAUUAUUUGUCAUAUGUUUAUUUAUGAUAUACUUAUUAAUCUAAAAGUGAUAAAGGGUAUGAUGCUCAUUUAUGUACUACAUUGUAAUUGUUAAAGGAGAAACAAUUGUGUGCUAAAACUCUAAUUGCGAAUUCUAGAUUUCUUUAGUAUCCUUCUUGGGGCACAUGGUUUCUAAAUAUGAGGCCAUCGUAGAACCGUAAAAAUUUAAGGCUAUUAAGAAUUAGGCUAGACUAAUGAAUGUGAUAGAAAUUUGUAGUUUUGUGGGGUAGGUCAGUUACUACCCGGUUUGUUAAAGGGUUUGGUGCCAUUGCUCCACACCUAACCUAUCUUACUCAGAGAAAAGCUUCUUUUGAAUGGGAUAAGUAUGAGGAGAGCUUUCAAAAUCUCAAAAUUGUAUUGACUUCGGCCACAGUAUUGACCUGACUACAAUUCGAGUAAGGAUUUUAUUGUAUUUUGUGAUGCCUUUUGUUUGGGUUUAGGUGUUGAGUUGAUGCAGGAAUUGAAUGCAAUUGCUUAUGCUUCAAGACAACUGAUGCAUUAUGAGAAGAACUACCCCAUGCAUGAGUUAAAGCUAUUAGCUAUAGUGUUUGCAUUAAAGAUUUGGUGACACUAUCUUUAUGGGGUGAAGUGAGAGGUGUUCGCCAAUCAACACAGUUUGCAGCACAAGUUCACUUAGAAAGACCUAAAUCUAAGACAAAGAAGAUGGAUGGAGUUGAUUAAAGAUUUUGAUAUAUCAAUUUUGUAUCACCUGGGUAACGCCAAUAUGGUGGUGGAUGAACUAAAUCAAAAACCAGUGAGAAUGGUGAGCCUAGCAUUUCUAGAGGUAUCAAGGCACCCAUUGGCGAGAGUGGUAUGGUCCUUAGAUAACGAUUUUCAGAGAUUGCAAGAAACUAGUGAAAGCAAGGUGAUGGAAAAAGUAGAUUUUAGGUCCACUUUCUAUAUUAAAAUUAAGAGAUGACAAUUUAAGGAUAAGAAAGUGAACAAUCUAAGGGAAAAAGUAUUACAAGGAAAGGCGAAAGAGGCCAUUCUAGAUGACAAAAAAGUCAUAAGAAUUAGAGGUCGGUUGUGUGUGCCUAAGGUGGGUAACUAGAUUUCUACCAUUUUGGCUGAGGAUUAUAAUACCAAGUACCAUACAUCACAAUGCCAAAAAGAUGUAUACAGACUUGAGGCAACAUUAUUGGUGUAGAAAAAUGAAGCGUGACAUCAUAGAUUUUGUGGUGAAGUAUUAAAAUUGACAACAAUUCAAAUAUGAACAUAAAAAACUUGGUGGUACUUUUUAGUGUAUGCCUAUUUUAGAGUGGAAGUAGAAAUGAAUAACGAUGGACAUUGUUAUUGUCCUUCCAAAAUCCUUAAGGAAAUGCUACACUGUUCGAUCAUUAUGGACCGUUUUACUAAGUCAUCUUAUUUUAUUCUAGUAAGGGUUGAUUAUAAUGCAACUAAGUUGGCCAGAACUUAUACGAAGAAAAUUGAAAGAUUGCAUAGGGUACUAGUUUCAAUUGUGUCUGACAAGGGUAUUCUAUUUACAUUUAAUUUUUGGGAAAGGUUUUAGUCUGAGUUGAGGUCUAGAUUGGACCUGAGCAUAACUUUCCACCCAUGAACAGAUGGUAAAUCUGAGAGGGACUAUUCAAGUGCUUAAGGAUAUGCUCUAGGAUUGUACUAUGGACCUUGGGGGUCAGUAGGAUGAAUACUUAUAAUUGUAUGAAUUUGCCUACAACAAUAACUACCGCUCUAGUAUUGACAUGAAUCCUUUUGAGGCCUUAUGUGCUAGACGAUAUAGAUCCCCAAUUGGGUGGUUUGACACAUUUAUGUGAGACCUAGGGCACUAAUAUGCUCAAGGACUCUAUGGAAAAGUGGGAUUCAUAUAGGAGAAGCUCAUAGCGUGUCAUGACCCAAAUUAGGGACUGGCUGUGACGGGUAUCUCAAGUCUAUCGGGGAAUGGAGACCACCCCUUUUCACCCAACCAAACAACAUUAUACCCACCAUGUCGGAAGAAUUCCGAACAUAUAUCAAGAUAGCACAAGAUAAGAUUUAAAGAAUGAAGGGUAUGUAUAUAAUCUCUAACCAUUGAAUGGCCAAAAUAAUUGACCAACAUCACCCAAUUCAACAGUAAUCCAGCAAAGCCUUCUAACACAAGAACCAAAGCCAAUCUUGGUUGGGAUAUGUUCCCGACUCUGUCAAAUGACAAUAAAAAUGAUAAUCUUAAUGAUAAUGAAAACUCUUAAUUCUAAUCUAUGAUAAUAACUAAUGAAAUGUCCAAGUCUUUCGGGGAAUGAAAGAUCACCACUUCACCAUAACAAACCGACGAACCGAGCUAAUUCACUAAACUCUGCACAAGAAAAGUAGAGGUAUCUCCGGUACCAACAUUGUGUGGGGAUACAGUAUCUGGAGAUGGUUAGUGGGGUGAGAACUAGCAUGUAACUCAGGGAUAAGGAUAACAUACUGCCGUGAUCAAGAAUUCAAAAUCAUUCAAAAAACCAAUGCACAUGAUCAAAUGCAUACACACACACAUACACAUACAUACAUAUAUAUAUAUAUAUCAUAUGUCGGGAUAGGGAAACAAGGCUUAGCAUGCAUUUUAAAACUUUAUCCUGGAUUGUGUAGAUAAAUCAUCAUAACAUAACAAGACACCCACGAGCUAUAGGGCCUAGCUCUUCCCUAGCUGGUAGGUCCCCCGUGUGUGUAGACACAUGAACCAGAGGGUAUACAUAUACACUAUGGGGGACUUGAAUCUCCCGACAUAUCAAGGUAAAAAAAACACCAAAUCAUGUAAUAUAAUGUGUGGUACUUGAACCUUUCAAUCAUAUGAUAACAAUAGCAAUACGUGGGACUCAAACCAACCGGUCAUUUAGACUCCCAUGCCGGCAAUCACGAUUUAGGUAUCAGCCCCUUGGGACCUCUACUUUCAUGACUCAGCAACACAACCCUCAUUAAAGCCCAAUUAAAACAAUUAUCACACAUUCCUCUUCAUUGAACUACGAUAAAAAAUUUAGGCAUACAUUGUUGGUAUGUCAUACCAACUACUCUUACAAGGUAACAUCAACAUACGACACCAAUUACCAUAACUUGGGAGUACUCGCAAUCCCCUUUGGUUCAAUUAUACAUUAGCUUGGAGAAUUAGACAACCCCAUAAGGUUCAAUUAAAAAUCAUUAUGCUUCAUUAACCUUUCACAUUAUGCAAUAAUUCAAGAGUAGUUCAAUGUGCAUAUUUUUCAUAUUCAAAAUCAAUUCCACAAUAGGGGGUUUAGGUCAGGACAUAACGACUUCAAAAGUCACAAGUUUUGGGAAAUCACAAUCCCUUAAUUAUUCACCAUUCCUAUGCACCAAUGUGAUUUUAAACCCACCAUUAAAACAUAAAAAAUGUAGGGACAAACAUGAAACAACACAUAAAAGUCAAUUAUUCAAAAAUGCUCAACCCAUGUUUUCAAAACCAACAUCAAUACUGUAUAAAAACACUUUAAAACAUAUGUUUUUAACAAAUUAACAACUAGGGAAGAUUAAUAUGCCUGAAAUAUAAAGUAUCACAGAAAGAAUUCAACCCUUGAUCCCUUGGAUGACCUACUUCUUGGAAACCAUAAGUAUGGCUGCUUGAGAGACUUGAGAGAGUAUUAAAAGUGUUUGAGUAUGUUAUGAAUGAUAAAUAACCCCUCUUAAGUGCCUUAUGAACAUGGGGUUUUAAUUAUGUAAGGAGGUAAUUAUCCAAAGUUCCCUCAAUUAAAAACUAAAAUAUAAUCAUUAGUGACUACAGGUCACUAUACGACUCAUAGGAACUCAUUAAAACUCUUCACCAGGAAUCAUAGCCAAAACAGUUUCCAUGGCACCCACUGACUGUCGACCCUAUGAAUCAAAUGCUACAACUCAUAAUAAGACCUUAUGACUUGUAGGGUCUAGUCGUAGUCAACACAGAACCCAUUUGGGGUAAACACUGGACAUCCUAUAAUUUACAUCCAAUGACUUGUAAUGAGUCCUUAUGGAUCUUUGUGAGCCACUCAUACUCAGAGCAGAACUUGGUCUAAUGACUCAUCAAAACUCCCGUCACUUGUCAGGGAAGUUGUAGUUAGGACAGUGAGGAUAAAAUUUCAAAAAAUUUCAAGGACCAAAAAUCGGGGUGUUAUAUAUUUCCCUUUUUGGAUCAUUCAUCCUCGAUUGAUAGGAAAAUAUAUUUAUUAGCAUGAUUUGACUUCAGACACAAUCACACUUAUCUUUAACAAAGAUAGAAAAUAAAUAUGUUAAGGAACACACUUACCUCAAGCAUGAUUUGUCAAAAUAAGGAACAAGAUCUGAUACUUGGACUGUAUGUACUCCUUGGCUUCCUAAGUAGCUUCUUCCAUCUUUUCAUUCCUCCAACGAACCUUUACUAAAGCCACAUCCUUGGUCAAUAACCGAUGGAAUUUCAAAUCCAAAAUUUUACUCAGAACUUCCUUAUAGGAUAAGGAAUCCAAAACACCCACCUCCUCCAAGGGAAUAAUCGUUGAAGGAUCGCUAACACACUUUUUCAACAUCAACAUGAAACACCAAAUGAAUGGAGCUGAAACUAGAAGGAAACUCUAACUCAUAUGCAAUACUACCAACCCUCUUCAAAACCAAGUACGGACAAAUAUAAUGGGGACUAAGUUUCCACUUUUUACAAAAUUGCAUCACUUUCUUCAUGGGAGACACCUUAAAUAACACUCAAUAACCCACACUGAACUCCAAUUCUCUUUGCCUCAUAUUUACGUAGGGCUUUUGGCAACUUUGGGGGGCCUUAAGUCUAUCCUGAAUCACCUUCACCUUCUCCAUGGCUUGGUGAACCAAAUCAGGACCAAAUAACUUAUUUUUACAACCUCAAACCAUUUAAUAAGAGAACUAUACCUCCUACCAUAUAAGGCCUCAAACGUGGCCAUAGCAAUACGAUAGUGAUAAUUGUUGUUAUAGGGAAACUCUAUAAGAGGCUACUGGUUUACCCAACUUCCACCAAAAUAACAUACACAAGCUCGACACAUAUCUUUUAAGAACUAAAUUGUCAUUUUUGGUUGCCCAUCUAUCUAUAGGUGGAAAGUGGUACUACGGGUUACCUUUGUCCCCAAACCUACUGGAACAAUCUCCAAAAGUGAGAUGAGAACUGAGUAUCCAAAUCGGGUAACAUGGAAACUGGAGUACCAUGCAACUUCAUGAUCUCUUCAAUGAAUAGUUUGUCAUAAUUCUCUGGAGAGAAAUUAGUCCUCACUAGCAAGAAGUGAGAAGACUUAGUUAUCCUAUCCAUGAUGAACCAAAUUAAAUCAAAAUAUUGGCGAUACUGUGAAAGAUCAGUAAUAAAAUCCAUAUUAAUUAUCUUUCAUUUCCACUCUGACAGCUCAAUCUCCUAAGUCAACCCAUCGGGCCUUAAGUGCUCAUUCUUCACUUUCUGGCACACCAUGCACUUAGCCAUAAAAUUGGCCACAUCCCUCUUUAUGUUACUCAACCAAUAAAUCUCUUUAAGAUAAUGAUACAUUAUUGUUGAACCAGGAUAAAUAGUAUAAUAUGACUCAUGAGCUUCAACCAAAAUUCUUCCUCGUACCCCAUCAAUAUCGAGAACACAUAAUCUACCUUGGUACCUAAAGAUAAAAUCACCACUAAUCUCAAAAACCAUUACUUUCUUCCUACCUAAAUUAUUCUUGAUUUAUAUAAGCAUAGGGUUAACACUUCUCCUUUACUGCAACACCAACAGAUGACUUUACCACCUCUUAAAUAGUCUGAAACACCUGAGUUCUAUCCUUUGCAAUUUUCUUAAGUCUUGAGAUUACUAAUCAUUAUACGACUCACCAUACUAGUUGUAUGGUAUGGGUAUGGGUUAGGUGACCCAACUAUAAGGGGUCUACUUUGUUAGGUGACCCAACUGUAAGGGAUUUAAUAUCUAGCGGUUAGGUUUCUAUUAUGGUUACGUGUUGGUGGCGAUGAGUCGUAUGUUCAUGAUAUAAGAAGUAUAGUGCCCAACCAUAUAUUAUCUAGUGUCUAGCCUAGAUAUCCUACUUAGGAUAUUGCAGGAUAUUAGUUGUAUAGUGAUAGUACGAGUUAGGCCUAUGGAGUCGUACAUUGGAUAGAAUGUAUUGUCCAACUUUAUUAUCAAGUUACGAGUAAAGGGUACCACUCGCAUGGUAUGGAUAUGAGUUGAAGGGUUUGAUCGUACCCUCCUAUGUUAUUUUUAUAGCUUUUAAGCUAAGCGUAUUUUAGACAUUUCCCACCCAAAUACCAUAAGACCCCACAUCUUAUAACACUAUUUGGUCCCUCAUUCUACACUUUGGAAGAUCAAAACACUCUUUAAACUCUCUCAAAUCUCUCUCAAGCUCUUGGGUCAAGAAAAGGAUAGGUUUUUCUAAAUUCAAUCGAUUUGGGGCUUUCAAGAGGGUUUCUCUCCAUAUUUCUUGGUGUAUAAGCCAUGUUAUUCCUCCCUCAUUGUUAUUUCAACUAAAAGCAUGCUUCAAUAAAUGACUUUUAUGGCAUUAUUAUGGUAUUGUUUUGGAUUUUGAAGUAUAAGUUAGGAGAUUUGGUUGUUCUUGGUUGGAUAGUGUUUUUCCAUGUUUUACUUAUGCUUUUUUAUGUUAUAAUUGUUAUUUGAACAUAUAGUUGCAUGGGAUUUGUGAAUUGAUACUUGGUUUGAGCUUUGGAAACUAUAUGCCCUCAACAUGUUUGUAAAAAUGGCAAUGAGAAUGCUUUUAUCACAUAGUUUUACUCUUAUUGAAAUCUUUGCAUUGCAUAAAAGGUAAUGGAACUUAAAUUGGUUCAUAAAAGGUAAUGGAACUUAAAUUGGUUCAAAUGAUUUUAAAUGGAUUAGAAAGACCUUGGUGGCCAUGGUAUUGGUUUAAAUGAAAACUUUGGAGUCAAAUUGGUUUAAUGGCUUUGGAUGGCAUAAAUGGAUAGACUUGUAAGCUCUAAUUUUGGUAUGAUGAUAACAAUGGUUACUACCUAAUUAAAAGGACUUCUAAGUAAUUGGUUGGUUGUGUGUGAAUAGUUUCAAUAGGGGCUUAAGGGGGGAUGUGUGUCCUUUUUUAAAUAUCUUUCAUUUGAUUUUAUUAAAUCUUAUUAUAUGUUUAGAAUUUAUUCAACAUAGGGUGCAAGGAUGUUAUGGUAGGGUAUUGGGGUCAGUCUCCCAUCCGGAUUGAACUUAAGAUGACCGACACAAAUAGGCCCUGGUUUGGUCGUGUUAGACUGAUAUCAUAGCACUAGAUUUAUGAUCAAUUGGGAGUCUAUAAAGCCAUGUCGUGUAGAGUUUCUUUCAAGGGUGUGUAGUGCACCACACUUAUAAGGGAGAGGCAAUGAUGCAUUUUAGAAUAUUUCUCUUUCUUGUGUCUAUUUUUUAGUUGUAGAGUCUAAGGUCCUAAAUUCUCCUCUAAUUUUUAUUUGUUCACUUUUCAGAUCAUGCUUCUUUGACAAUCUAAAGAUCACGAAAACUCCUCUAUCCCACUCAAGGAUAAUGUUGAUGAGACACGUUCUACCUAUGGGAUCCAGACCCGGUCUAGGGUCCAGUUCAUGAUUCCCAUCUUGGAGUUCCACGAGAUCCCUUCAGUCCUCCUUGAGCUCCUCAGCCAAUGUAACAAAUGCUGAGUUUUUUCAGUCUAUCCAUAUGUUAACUGCGUUGGUAGCUUCUCAGGAUGAGCAACAUUUAUACUAUCUUCGGAGGCCACAAUAGUUGGCAGUUCAUAAGGUUAAACUCACUGACCUAUAGGUGUUAGGGUGGAAGAGGAUCCUUAAGGUUUCUUGGAUAAAAUGGAAAAAAUCUUUUGAGUUAUGCAUGCAAAAAAUAUUGAGGGCGUGGAUUUUGCCACUUUCCAGCUAAAAGAUGUGGUAUACAAGUGGUACAAGAAAUGGGAUCAGUCAAGGGGUGAUGAGGCUGAUUCAGACCUACAGGAGGAUUUUUCUAAUAUUUUUCUAAACCGCUUCUUUGUUUAGGAUUUACGGGAAGCAAAGCCGAAAAAGUUUGUUGAUCUAAACCAAGGAAAGAUAUCAGUCAAGGAGUAUGCAUUAAAGUUCCACUAGUUAUCUCGGUAUACUCCAGAGAUGGUUUAUAUCAUGAGAGCUAGAAUAAGAAAGUUUGCUUUUGGGUUGUUUAGAGAUAUUGGAGAGUAAGGAUGCCUUGUUGAUCAAGGAAAUAUAUAUCUCUAGGUUGGUUGUGUAAAUGCAAUAGGUGGAGAAAGAGAAGAAGAAGCAAAUUAAGAUAGGUUAGUGGUAGGGCAACAAAUUUUGGUUCUAUGAGUAGGGUGGUGGCUGACAGUAGAGUGACAGGGAUGGUGAAAAGUAGCCCAAAAAGAAGUGGGGAAACUCUGGUUUUACUCAGUGGCUAAUGCCCUUUCCCCAAGCCAUUAAGGGGAAGGCAUUUCUAAGAUGGCGAUAACUUCAUAGCAUAGGGUGCCCAAUCUAAGGCUAGUAGGGCCUAGUCAGCUCUAUAAUAACCUUCCUGCAGGUUCUGUGGUAGAUUGCAUCAGGGUUAUUGUGAAGAAGGAAGGGUAAGUGCUUUAGCUGUUGUCAGCUAGGGCAUAUAAUUAAGAACUGUCCAUUGGACAAGGUUGCUUCAAGGACAAACAAGGUUCCAAUUACUUCACCAUUAGCUCCGGUACCAAAGGGUGCACUAUCUAGUUCUGGCACUAGUCAAAACUGUCUUUAUGCUCUCACUACCCGAUAGGAGUACGAGGCAUCACUUGAUAUUGUAACUAGUAUAUUAAAAUUCUUUUCCCAUGAUGUGUACUAUUUACUUGAUUUGGGGUCCACUCUCUCUUAUGUGACCCCAUUGUGGCUGUGUAUUUUGGUUUUGGUCCGAAGUGUGUUUCAGAUCCUUUUUUUGUUUCCACCUUGGUGGGUGGUUAUGUGGUGGCUAGUAGAGUCCAUAGGGGCUAUGUAGUAUCUGUUGGUAUCAAAGACACUGUGGGGGACCUAAUUGAAUUAGAUAUGAUGGAUUUCAAUGUCAUAUUGGGGAUGGAUUGGUUGCACUCGUGCUAUGCUUUUGUAGACUGUUAGACCCAUAAGGUCAUUUUUAAAUUCCCAAAUGAACCAGUUAUUGAGUGGGAGGGUAUUUACUAGCUCCUAUGGAGAAGUUCAUAUCUUAUCUUAGAUCUUGGAGAUUAAUCUCCAAAAGGUGUCUCUUUAAUCUAAUUAAUCUCUAAAGGGUGUAUCUAUCUCUAGUACAAGUUAAAGAUUCUAACUCGGAGGUUCCUUUUGUGCAUUCCAUCCCUGUGGUAAAUGAAUUUCCUGAGGUCUUUAUUGAUGACCUUCCUGGUGUUCCUCCUAAUAGGGAGAUUGAGUUUGGGAUUGAUCUUGUUUUGGAAACUCGUUCAAUUUCUAUUCCUCCAUAUAUAAUGGCUCCAGUUGAGUUCAAAGAGCUUAAGGAGUAGCUAAAGUAUCUUUUAGAAAAGGGUUUCAUCCAUCCUAGUGUGCUUUCUGGGGUGCACUAGUGUUAUUCGUGCAUAAGAUGGAUGGUUUCCUUCGGAUAUGUAUUGAUUAUUCAUAGUUGAUCAAGGUAACGAUAAAGAAUAAGUAUCCUCUUCCAAGGAUAGAUGAUCUGUUUGAUCAGCUUUAGGGUGCUAAGUUUUUCUCCAAAAUCGAUCUUCGAUCUGAGUAUCAUCAAUUAAAGAUUUGGGAGGUAGAUAUCCUUAAGACUGCCUUUCGUACCCGAUAUGGGUACUUCAAGUUUCUGGUUAUGUCCUUUGGGAUGGCCAAUGCCCUUGCAACAUUCAUGGAUUUAAUAAAUAGGGUUUUCCAGUAGUUUCUAGAUCUGUUUGUCAUUGUUUUUAUAGAUUUCAUUUUGGUGAACUUUAUACAUAAAGUGGAUCAUCUGAAUCACUUCUGCAUUGUAUUGCAGGCCUUAAAAGAGCAACAGUUCCAUGCCAAAUUCUCGAAAUGUGAGUUCUAGUUGAACGUUAGGACAUGUCAUUUCUAGUGAAAAGAUCAUGGUGAAUACAUAGAAAGUUGUAGUGGUGAAGAAGUGGCCUAGAACCACGACUCCAAUUAGCAUUCGAAGCUUCUUGGGUUUAGCGGGUUACGACACGAGGUUUGAAGAGAGUUUUUUUCACUAUAUCUGCCCCGUUAACUAAGUUGACUCAGAAGAAGGUAAUGUUUCUAUGGUUUGAUGCUUGUGAUGGGAGUUUCGAGAAGCUGAAGGAUAAGAUAACUUCAGCUCCAGUGUUGACUUUACCUGAAGGCACUGAUGGGUUUGCGGUCUACUGUGAUGCAUCCCGUGUGGGGCUUAGUUGUGUUCUGAUGCAGCAUAGAAAAGUCAUAGCUUAUACCUCUAAACAGUUGAAGGUGCAUGAGAAGAACUAUCCGACGUAUAACCUAGAACUGUUAGUUGUGGUGUACGCAUUAAAAAUCUAGCAUCACUAUUUGUAUGAGGUGUAUGUGGAUAUCUUUUCUGAUCUUAUGAACCUACAGUAUGUGUUCACUCAGAAAGAGCUUAACCUUAGGUAAAAGAGAUGGCUUGAGCUUCAAAGACUAUGAUAUGAGUCUUUACUACCACCCAGGUAAAGCUAACAUGGUUGGUGAUGCUCUUAACAGGUUAUCCAUGGAGAGUUUAGCUCAUGUGGAUAACAAGAACCAGGAGUUGGUGAAGGAUAUUCACCAUUUAGCUAACCUUUGAGUUCAUCUUUUGGACUUCGAGGAUAGUGGUGUGUUUGUGUAGGAAGUGGCGCGGUUGUCUCUUGGUGCUGAAAUCAAGGAAAAAUAUAUGUUAGAUCCUAUCCUGAUGAGGAUUAAGGGUGAUGUAGGUGGGCAAAAGGUGAUGGCCUUCAAGAUUAGUGGUAAUGGUACUUUGCGGUACCAAAGAAGGUUAUGUGUUCCUGACACUGAUGGCUUGCAAGAGAGGAUCUUGGCUGAUUUUGUUGCCAAGUUCAUAGUGUACCAGCAAGGGAAAAUUGAGCAUAUGAAGACUGAAAGAUUGUAUCAAGAAAUUAAGCUACCUAAAUUGACUUGGGAAGUGAUCAAUAUGGAUUUUUGUACCAGUUUUCCUAGGUCUCGGAAUUAAUUUGAUUUGGUUUAUGUCAUUAUGGAUAGGUUGACAAAUUCGGCUCACUUUUUACCAGUGUGGACUAACUUCUCGACUGAGGAUUAUGCCAUGUUAUACCUCCAAGAGAUUGUGAAGUUGCAUGGGGUACCUGUUUCUUUCAUUUUCGAUCGUGGUUUGCAAUUUUCAUCACAAUUUUGGUGGCUAUUCUAGAAAGGUUUAAGGACCAAGGUAAGUAUGGGUACUUCUUUUAACCCAUAGUCGGAUGGGCAAUUAGAAAUGACUACUCAGAUAUUAGAUGAUAUGUUUUGGGCUUGCAUGAUUGACUAUGGUGGUAGUUAGGUUGAUCACUUAGCUCUUGUAUUACUUUAAACAAUAACUACCACUCUAGCAUUGGGAUGGCUUCAUUUGAGGCGUUGUAUGGUAAAAGGUAUAGGUAUUCUAUUGGGUGGUUUGAGCUUGGUAAAGCGGAUAUGUUUGGCCCUAAUUUGGUUCACCAAGAUAUGGAGAAGGUGAAGGUGAUUUAGGAUAGGCUUAAGGAUACCCAGAGUCACCAAAAGUCCUAUGCAAACGUGAGGCAAAGGGACUUAGAGUUUGAGGUUGUAGAUAAGGUAUUCCUAAAGGUAUCUUCUAUGAACAGAGUGAUAAGGUUUGGGAAGAAGGGGAAGCUUGGUUCCUAGUAUGUUGAUUUGUACUUGAUUUUGAGAACGGUGGGCACUGUUGCACAUGAGUUGGAGUUGCCUUUUAUCUUAAGCUCCAUUCACCCGACAUUCCAUGUAUCUAUGUUGAGAGAGUGUAUUGGUGAUCCAUCGUAGGUUAUUCCUAUUAAGGAUAUUGGUAUUUUGGUUUCCCUAUCUUUUAAGGAGAUUCAAUUUAAAAUCUUGGAUCGUCAGGUUCAUUAGUUACGGAUCAAGGAUGUGGCCUCGGUGAAGGUUCUAUAGAGGAAUCACAAGGUAGAAGAGGCUAUAUAGGAAGCUGAAAAUGACAUAAAGUCCUAGUAUCCAUUCCUAUUUUAUGCUCUAAAAAUUCAUGCGUAAGGUAUGUGCUCUUCAUAACAUCCUUAUUUUCUAACUUAUUUAAAGGAAAGAUUGAUUUCCUUGCAUAUUUGUGUUAUGUCUUUGUUAAAGGUAAAAUGGUAAAUUCCUUAGUGUUAUAUUUUCUAUCUUAAGGGUAAGAGUAGAAACGUUUAGAGGUUUACUCGUUCUUGUACUUCCUUGUUCAAUCAUUCGAGGAUGAAAGAUCCAAGUGGGGGAGAAUUGAAACACCUUGGAUUCUUGCCUUUGCAAAUUUCUCGAGUCUUAAGAUUUCUGAUAAUCAUACGACUCACCAUACUAGUCGUAUGGUAUGAGUACGGGUCAGGUGACCCAACUUGUAGGUAUCCAGUGUUUGGUGGUUGGGUUUCUAUUGUGGUUACGUGAUGGUGGUGACGAGUCAUAUGUUCAUUAUAUGAGAAGUAUAGUACCCAACUGUAUGUUGUCCAGUGUCCAGCCUAAAUGUCCCACUUAGGGUACGACUUAAAGGAUACUAGUCGUAUAGUAAUGGUAUGAGUUAGUCCUAUAGAGUUGUAUGUUGGACAGAAUGUGGUGUCCAAAUUUUUAUCAAGUUACGAGUGGAGGGUACAACUCGUAUGUUGUGGAUACGAGUUGAGGGAUCCAACUGUACCCUCCUGUGUUCUUUUUAAAGCUUUUAAGCUGAGGGUAUUUAUGAUAUUUCUGACCCCAACCUCUUAAAACUCCACGUCUUAUAACACUAUUUGAUCCCUUAUUCUACGGUUUGGAUGAUCAAAACAGUCUCUAAACUCUCUCAAAUCUCUCCCAAGCACUUGGGUCAAGAAAAUGCUAGGUUUUUUCAAGUCAAUCAAUUUAGGGCUUUCAAGAGGGAUUCUCUCCAUAUUCCUUGGUGUCUAUGGCAUGUUACUCCUCCUUCAUUGUUAGUUCAACUAAAACAUGUUUUAAUGAAUGAUUUUCAUGUCAUUAUUGUGGUAUUGUUUUGGGUUUUGAAGUAUAUGUUGGGGGUUUUGGUUGUUUUUGGUUGAUUAGUGUUUUCCUAUGUUUCACUUAUAAUUUUUAUGUUAUAAUUGUGAUUUGAACAUGUGGUUCCAUGGGAAUGGUCAAUUGUACGUGGUUUUGGAUUUGGAAACUAUAUGCCCUCAAUAUAUUUGUUAAAAUGCCAAUGAGAAUGCUUUUAAUACGUAGCUUCACUAUCAUUGAAAUCCUUGCAUUGCAUAAAAGGUAAUGCAACCUAAAUUGGUUCAAAUUAUUUUAAAUUUAUCGGAAAGGCCUUGGUGCCCAUGGUAUUGGUUUAAAAACUUUCGAGUCAAAUUGGUUUAAUGGUUUUGGUAUGGCAUAAAUGGAUAGACUUGCAAGCUCUAGUGUUGGUAUAACGAUACUGACAAGUGGUGAAUUUACCACUUAUUUUCACUCAACAAUCGUGCACGCUACUAUGAACUAAAUGUAUAAAUAAUACGUGUUUGCGAUUAAAUACACUAAUUUCCUUAUUUUUGCAUGCACAUAGAUGAUGAGAUAGAAAGAAGUGGACUUGAGCUAAAUAGAAAUCAAAAGGAG
rnacentral:lncRNA from 1 species